rnacentral:lncRNA from 1 species
CUUAUCAUACACAUAGAUUAAAAUUGAUCAUACAACUAUAAGUUAAUUUUAGAUCAAUUGCACCCUAAAGCCAUAGUAUAAUUGCUCUAGCUUAAUUUUUCACUACUUUACUUGUAAUUGCCUAGAGCUUAAGUAAAUAACAUCUUAUCAUUCCGCUGCAUUCAAUUCAAAGUAAAAAUUAGGGAACAUAAUUUUUAGAAAACCCAAUUCACCCCCCCUCUUGGGUUGUCACCUUGGGCAACAAGUGGUAUCAGAGCAGGUGCUCUUCUAUUAAUUAUAGUCUUAACCGACAAGAGCUAAAAAUUAUGACAAUCCCACAUAACAUAUUAUUUGCCGAGGGACUUUCCAUAAACAGACCUCCACUGUUUGAUGGAACUUACUAUAUUCAAUGGAAAGCUAGAAUGAAAAUUUUGUUCAAUCACAAAACUAUAAAAUA